rnacentral:rRNA from 1 species
UCCAGACUCCUACGGGAGGCAGCAGUGGGGGAUAUUGCACAAUGGGGGGAACCCUGAUGCAGCGACGCCGCGUGGGUGAAGAAGCGCCUCGGCGCGUAAAGCCCUGUCAGCAGGGAAGAAAAUGACGGUACCUGAUUAAGAAGCCCCGGCUAACUACGUGCCAGCAGCCGCGGUAAUACGUAGGGGGCAAGCGUUAUCCGGAUUUACUGGGUGUAAAGGGAGCGUAGACGGCAAGGCAAGCCAGAAGUGAAAGGGCAGGGCUCAACCCUGUACAUGCUUUUGGAACUGUGGUGCUAGAGUGCAGGAGAGGUAAGUGGAACUCCUAGUGUAGCGGUGAAAUGCGUAGAUAUUAGGAGGAACACCAGUGGCGAAGGCGGCUUACUGGACUGUAACUGACGUUGAGGCUCGAAAGCGUGGGGAGCAAACAGGAUUAGAUACCCCAGUAAA